rnacentral:lncRNA from 1 species
UGCUGCUACAGCAAUCUGGUUUAUCCUCACAUGUCAAACCUUCCAUCUUGCUUCACUUUCUCUAUGGGACUCUGAAACUGCCAGUCUGCUGUGAGAAAAGCUGACUUCAUACCAGCCUACGCCUCCCAUCUCUCACUGGACCUCCUGGCCCUAACUGAAACCUGGAUCACCCUAGACAACUCAGUCACACCUGCAGCACUCUCCACUAACUAUUCCUUCUCUCACACCUCUCGUUCCUCUGGCAGAGGUGGAGGCACAGGCCUGCUUAUCUGGUGGGAAUAUUCUGUUCUCUCUCUUCACCUGCAUGAUCUGUCUUCCUUUGAAUGCCAUGCUGUCUCUAUCACUGCCCCAGUCACUCUUGUUGUGGUUGUCUUUUAUCACUCUCCUGGUCCUCUUGGUAGCUUCCUGGAUGACCUUGACAUCUUGUUGAGCUCUCUGCCAGGGGAAAACACUCCGUUGAUUCUCCUGGGUGAUUUCAACCUGCAUGUUGAUGACAUUCAUGCAAGCGGCCUUCUGUUGCUCCUGCAGUCCUUUGAUCUCUCCCUAUCCCAAUCCCCUGCUACUCACAAAGCGGGCAACUGUCUUGACCUUGUAUUUUUCCGCAACUGUGGCUGUUCCGUUCUCUCUGUCAUGCUGCUGCAUGUCUCUGACCACUUCUUCAUUUCCUUUCAACCCUCCCUCACCACUAACUCUUCGUCUCUUCCUGCACCCAUUGUCACCUUUCACCGCAACUUAAUCUCUCUCACCUUUCUGCUUUUCCUCUGCUACUCUGGCCGCUCUCCCUUCUGCUCCACAAUUCUCAGAUCUAUCUACAGGUGAUGUCACUAACACUUUCCUCUCUGCUCUAUCUUCCACCCUUGACUCUCUCUGUUCUCUGUCCUCUAGACCAGCAUGCCCCAUUGCUACCCCAUAGCUGUCUGAUAUGUUACAUGCUGACAGGACAAAACUGAGGGCUGCAGAGCGAAGAUGACAUAAAUUCAAAAUUCCAUCGGACCUGGAUGCUUACCAGUCACUCUUAGCUGCUUUUCAGUCUGCUCUUUCUUCAGCUAAAACCUCCUUCUUCCACAACAAAAUACAGUCUGC